rnacentral:rRNA from 1 species
AUUGAACGCUGGCGGCAUGCCUUACACAUGCAAGUCGAGCGGAUGAAGAGAGCUUGCUCUCUGAUUUAGCGGCGGACGGGUGAGUAAUGCCUAGGAAUCUGCCUGGUAGUGGGGGAUAACGUUCCGAAAGGAAUGCUAAUACCGCAUACGUCCUACGGGAGAAAGCAGGGGACCUUCGGGCCUUGCGCUAUCAGAUGAGCCUAGGUCGGAUUAGCUAGUUGGUGAGGUAAUGGCUCACCAAGGCUACGAUCCGUAACUGGUCUGAGAGGAUGAUCAGUCACACUGGAACUGAGACGCGGUCCAGACUCCUACGGGAGGCAGCAGUGGGGAAUAUUGGACAAUGGGCGAAAGCCUGAUCCAGCCAUGCCGCGUGUGUGAAGAAGGUCUUCGGAUUGUAAAGCACUUUAAGUUGGGAGGAAGGGCAGUAAGUUAAUACCUUGCUGUUUUGACGUUACCGACAGAAUAAGCACCGGCUAACUUCGUGCCAGCCGCCGCGGUAAGAC